CCUUGCAAAUCUCAAAUACUUGAAAAUCUCUUACUACUACAAUCUCAAAGAGUUACCCAGCAGCCUGACUAGUCUAAAUGCUUUGGAGCACCUGGGAAUUGAAUGUUGUGUCGCACUAGAGAGACCCCCAGAGGAAGGGCUGAAAGGUUUAACUUCACUCUGGGAGUUAUAUCUCCAGAAAUGCAAGAUACUAAAAUGUUUACCGGAGGGAUUGCAGCACCUAACAGCCCUCACAAAUGAACGAUCUAUUUGUAUUAUACUCCUUCAAAAUGUAAAAUCCAUUCACUCUACUUGCUGCUGUUUGGUUAAAGUAGUUUUUUUGUUGUUGUUAAAGAUAGUAGAAUUUCAUCAAAAGCUUGCAUCAAGCUCUUUAUUCACUGGAUUCAAGCUGAUCCAAAUGGACAAGAUUGUCGAAAAGUCUAAAUUCUUGUACAGGUAAUUCAUACUCCUCAUUAUUUCCACGGAUUCCUAGUUUUUGAACAUUCUGAAUCCCUGAAUUAACCUCCUCUGUGCGACAUGCCAGAAAUUUGGGAAAAACCUUUCCAGUUCGAUAUGCCUUAAUCAUCAUUUCCCAAAUUUGUUGAGGAAAAAUUGAAGAUUUUUCAUUAUGUUUAGGAAUGAAUGUUUGUGAUUGUAACUCAAUUCAAGCACAUUUAAACAUUGUGACAAAUGAUUUGACAUCUUUAGCAACAUUUUUCGAAUGUUAAUUUACCACUGGCAAUA